GGAUUUCAGCCAGAUCCUUCCAAUGAAGCGAGAGUCUUGUGAUGCUGAGGAGCAGUCUGGAGGGCAGUAUGAGCUUUUUGCUGUGAUUGCGCACAUGGGAAUGGCAGACUCUGGUCAUUACUGUGUCUACAUCCGGAAUGCUGUGGAUGGAAAAUGGUUCUGCUUCAAUGACUCCAAUAUUUGCUUGGUGUCCUGGGAAGACAUCCAGUGUACCUAUGGAAAUCCUAACUACCACUGGCCUCCUUUUCUUUGUCAUGCAUGCAUAUUAAUUGAGGAUGGAGAAUAUCUACGCUUGUUCAGGCCAGCCAACAUACGACAGUUUACUUCAAGAGAGGAGACAUGGGUUGAAUGCUGGUAUGUUUUAACUCUGCAGCGCAAACAGUUGCAACAAGUGUGGUGAACUAAUCACCAGAUGGCCCUUUGCUGCCUUAUUUGUCAUUGUGCCUUACAUGUAGCUUGCAGGAUUGAUUACGCUUAUGUUUUGUGGUGAUCAUACUUUCAACUAUUCCUAAAAUACUGCUUCAGUCUUAUCUGUUUGGGGUCAACUGCUGAGGAUUUCAUACAAAUUAAUGAAGUUUGUGAAUCUAAAG
rnacentral:sRNA from 1 species